rnacentral:tmRNA from 1 species
GGGGGUGAAGGGACUCGACUUAGGUAAUUCGGGUAAGAGUAGCAUGCCGCGGAUGCAGGGUGGGCCGCGUUAACAAUCCUUGCAAAACAUAAACGCAAGCAGAUCACUGUUUGACGCUGUGAGGCCUUUACCCAUGGUUCCCAUGGGCAUGGGUUUCGCACCAGCCUUCGCUAACUAAAUUAGCGAAGCCUCAAUUCAGGCAGCCUGUGGCCUGAAAUUGAGCCGAAAGCAGGCUGGCCUUGGUGGGUUCGCCUUUGAUACCAGGGUAAGACUCUUAAAGGCUGCAACUUAUCCCAUCCUAUCUAUCGGAGUGGAUAAGACUAAGCAUAAAAGAUAGAUUAAGCAUGUAGCGACUUUUAUUCAGUUACUUAGGGACCCCGGUUCGACUCCGGGCACCUCCACCA